AAAUGAAUAAAUGUUAAAAAAAAUUUUUUUUUAAAGUCUCACCAAUCCCUAUAAAUGUAUACAUAUAUGUGUAUUUGAUUGUUUGAACAUAGGGAAAAAAGCACGGAGGGAUGCGUGUGGUCAUUACUAUGAGUCGUCCUGGAGUGGGUGGAGAGGAAGAGUAAAGAGGAUGGAGCCAAAUGAAAAAGUGGGGGGAUAAUAAAACUACAAUUAAAAACCUUCCACUGCCUGUGACAUUUAUGUAUAUAUAUAAAAUAAUGUGUGUAUAAAAGGAAAUUUCAAAAAAUAGACAAUAUAUGAAAAUGGUUUUUUAAUACAUGUAUGUGUAUAAAAUCAUAAUUUUAUUAAAAAGGUGAUAGGAACCUGAUGUCAUUGAACAUACCCAUUCAUACUAAUGUCUCUUCUAUUCCAACCUCUCCAAAACAAGCUGAUUUUGAUGUUUGGCUUUCCACAUAGUGUGACUCCAGGAAGAAAACUCACUGGAAGUGAGGAAGAGAGAAAGCCAACCUAUCAUAUUUUCGUGGAAUCGGGGCCUUAGGAACCCAGUGCUAGCUAUUCCUCUGUUCCCAAACUCACAAACUGCUCAGACAGGGCAUGAGUUUUCUGGGUCAUGUAACAUUUCAGUAACCCUCUGCUGCAAAGCUUGGGACCAGUUAGUUCUGUAAACUUGACGUAUAACUGCACUCAGUUCAUCACCGAGGUCUACUUCACCAAUAUCUGUUCAUAGGUAAGCCCCUGUGAGCAAGGGGCCUAGUAUGAGCAAGGUCAGUGGUGUCUUCCUUUUGCACUGUGCUCAAACUGCCCUCAAUUACUUUUACUCCCCACAAUAGGCCUUGUCGUUUCUGGUCUUCAAGCCCUUGCACAUGCUUUUUCCUUUGGCUAGAAACUUUUCUAGGCUGGAAAAGGUGCCUUUUCAUGUCCCUUUUGCACACUACACUCCCCUCUGUGUGUUUGCCUCCCUCACUAAACUGUAAGUUGCACAAGAGCAGGCAGUGUGUCUGUCUUCACUGUGGAAUCCCCGUGCUCAACCUGGCACAUACUGGUUAAUAAAUUUUAAAAUGUCUUAUGAA